GUUCUUCCACAGGGCGGCGGCGGUGGUAUUGGGAUCGGCUUCGGGGUGAGGUGUGGGGGUUCGGCACGGUGCCUGAGGAGGCACCAGCGCCCUUCACGCCGGGUCUUGAGGUGGAGGACAGAGCGCCCGGGCCAAGCUAACCCGGCCUUAGGAAGCUAUCACUGUAAUCCCUGAUCCUUGUUCUACAUGAGAUCGUUCAUCACUGUGGCAAAAAGGAAUGGAGAAGAGUUCACCCUACAGCCUCUUCACAUCCCCUGUCUUCCGAAGAAAGAGCUCCAGUCAUCAGACCAGUGUCUCUGGAUCCUGUCUAGUAUUUCUAGACUUAAAAAUAGUCAUAAAAUUAAAUCAGAAGCAGUCUUGUUUUUUCAUGAAAAGCAGCAAAGAGGACAGACCGAAACUUUGACUUCCAUUCGUUUUAAAAAUGAGUAAUAAUCUGUAAUAUUCUUGGUUUCUCUCAUGAAUGAGCUUUCUGUGAUUAUACUUUCUGUAAAUAGCCAAGUAUAACGCAAAUGUUAUUAGAAGAAAAUAAACAUGACUUU